GACGAACGCUGGCGGCGUGCUUAACACAUGCAAGUCGAGCGACGCUCUUCCUUCGGGGAGAUGACGGAGCGGCGAACGGGUGAGUAACACGUGGGCAACCUGCCCCUAGCUCUGGGACAACACCGGGAAACCGGUGCUAAUACCGGAUACGACAUCGAGCGGCAUCUCUCGAUGUGGAAAGUUUUUUCGGCUAGGGAUGGGCCCGCGGCCUAUCAGCUUGUUGGUGGGGUAAUGGCCCACCAAGGCGACGACGGGUAGCCGGCCUGAGAGGGCGACCGGCCACACUGGGACUGAGACACGGCCCAGACUCCUACGGGAGGCAGCAGUGGGGAAUAUUGCGCAAUGGGCGAAAGCCUGACGCAGCGACGCCGCGUGAGGGAUGACGGCCUUCGGGUUGAAAACCUCUUUCAGCAGGGACGAAUUCAGACGGUACCUGCAGAAGAAGCACCGGCCAACUACGUG
rnacentral:rRNA from 1 species